rnacentral:lncRNA from 1 species
GUCAACACUUGGUCAACCUUUGUGUCAACUCUUGAGUCAGCCACUGGUCAACUGUUGGUCAACUGCUGUGUUAACCACUGGUCUACCCUUGGUCAACACUUGGUCAAUCCUUGGUCAACCAUUGGCCAACCAUUGGUCAACCUUUCUGUCAACUGUUGAGUCAGCCACUGGUCAACCGCUGGUCAACACUUUGUCAAUUAUUGGUCAACUGUUGUGUUAACAACUGGUCUACACUUGGUCAAUCCUUGGUCAACCAUUGGUCAACACUUGGUCAACCUUUGUGUCAACUCUUGAGUCAGCCACUGGUCAACUGUUGGGUGACUGCUGGUCAACACUUUGUCAACUGUUGGUGAACUGCUGUGUUAAUCACUGGUUUACCCUUUGUCAAUACUUGGUCAAUCCUUGGUCAACCCUUGGUCUACACUUGGUCAAUCCCUGGUCAAUCCUUGGUCAACUGUUGGUCAACACUUGGUCAACCUUUGUGUCAACUGUUGAGUCAGCCACUGGUCAACUAUUGGUUGACCGCUGGUCAACACUUUGUCAACUGUUGGUCAACUGCUGUGUUAAUCACUGGUCUAUCUUUGGUCAAUCCUUGGUCUACACUUGGUCAACACUUGGUCAACCAAUGGCCCCAAAUCCAACCGAUCUCCACCCAAAAAAACCCAAACCCUGUUGGUUCGUUCCAUCUUCCGUAUCCAAGCAGCCCCAAAUCCACCCAAUCUCCACCCAAAAAACCCAAACCCCAUCCAUCCUUUCCCCAAAUCCACCCAAUCUCCACCCAAAAAAACCCCAACCCCAUGCAUCCUUAUCAUCUUCCACAUCCAAGCAGCCCCAAAUCCACCUGAUCUCCACCCAAAAAAACCCAAACCCCAUCCAUCCUUAUCAUCUUCCACAUCCAUGCAGCCCCAAAUCCACCCGAUCUCCACCCAAAAAACCCAAACCCCAUCCGUCCUUUCCCCAAAUCCACCCGAUCUCCACCAAAAAAAACCCAAACCCCAUCCAUCCUUUCCCCAAAUCCACCCAAUCUCCACCCAAAAAAACCCAACCUCCAUCCAUCCUUUCCACCUUCCACAUCCGAACAGCCCCAAAUCCACCCAAUCUCCACCCAAAAAACCGAAACCCCUUCCGUCCUUUCCCCAAAUCCACCCGAUCUCCACCAAAAAAAGCCAACCCCCAUCCGUCCUUUCCAUCUUCCACCCAAAAAACCCAACCCCCAUCCAUCCUUUCCCCAAAUCCACCCGAUCUCCACCCAAAAAAACCCAACCCCCAUCCAUCCUUUCCACCUUCCACCUCCAAACAGCCCCAAAUCCACCCGAUCUCCACCCAAAAAAACCCAAACCCCGUCCU